GACGAACGCUGGCGGCGUGCUUAACACAUGCAAGUCGAACGGAAAGGCCCUGCUUUUGUGGGGUGCUCGAGUGGCGAACGGGUGAGUAACACGUGAGUAACCUGCCCUUGACUUUGGGAUAACUUCAGGAAACUGGGGCUAAUACCGGAUAGGAGCUCCUGCUGCAUGGUGGGGGUUGGAUAGUUUCGGCGGUUGGGGAUGGACUCGCGGCUUAUGAGCUUGUUGGUGGGGUAGUGUCUUAGCAAGGCAUGGACGGGUAGCCGGCCUGCGAGGGUGACCGGCCACAUUAGGACUGGAAUACGGCCCAGACUCCUACGGGAGGCAGCAGUGGGGAAUAGUGCACAAUGGGCGGAACGCUGAUGCAGCAACGCCGCGUGCGGGAUGACGUCCUGCGGGUUGUAUACCGCUGUCGCCUGUGACGAGGCGUGAGUGACGGUAAUGGGUAAAGAAGCACCGGCUAACUACGUG
rnacentral:rRNA from 1 species